GACGAACCGUGCGAACGUUAUUCGGAAUCAUUGGGCUUAAAGGGCGCGUAGGCGGCGGUGUAAGUUGGAAGUGAAAUCCCAUCGGCUCAACCGUGGAAUUGCUCCCAGUACUGCACUGCUCGAGGGGGAUAGGGGUCCGCGGAACUACCGGUGGAGCGGUGAAAUGUGUUGAUAUCGGUGGGAACGCCAGUGGCGAAAGCGGCGGACUUGACCCUUCCUGACGCUGAUGCGCGAAAGCUAGGGGAGCAAACGGG
rnacentral:rRNA from 1 species